GAGUUUGAUCUUGGCUCAGGACGGACGCUGGCGGCGUGCCUAAUACAUGCAAGUCGAGCGAGCUGAACCAGCAGAUUCACUUCGGUGAUGACGCUGGGAACGCGAGCGGCGGAUGGGUGAGUAACACGUGGGUAACCUGCCCUAAAGUCUGGGAUACCACUUGGAAACAGGUGCUAAUACCGGAUAACAACAAUAGCUGCAUGGCUAUUGCUUAAAAGGCGGCGAAAGCUGUCGCUAAAGGAUGGACCCGCGGUGCAUUAGCUAGUUGGUAAGGUAAUGGCUUACCAAGGCGAUGAUACGUAGCCGACCUGAGAGGGUAAUCGGCCACAUUGGAACUGAGACACGGUCCAGACUCCUACGGGAGGCAGCAGUAGGGAAUCUUUCACAAUGGACGAAAGUCUGAUGAAGCAAUGCCGCGUGAGUGAUGAAGGGUUUCGGCUCGUAAAGCUCUGUUGUUAGAGAAGAACAGGUAUAAGAGUAACUGUUUAUACUUCGACGGUAUCUAACCAGAAA
rnacentral:rRNA from 1 species